UACGUAGGGUGCGAGCGUUGUCCGGAAUUAUUGGGCGUAAAGAGCUCGUAGGCGGUGUGUCACGUCGAUCGUGAAAACUUACAGCUUAACUGUGAGCGUGCGGUCGAUACGGGCAUCACUGGAGUUCGGCAGGGGAGACUGGAAUUCCUGGUGUAGCGGUGAAAUGCGCAGAUAUCAAGUGGAACACCAGUGGCGAAGGCGAGUCUCUGGACAUUUCCUGACGCUGAGGCACGAAAGCCAGGGGAGCAAACGGG
rnacentral:rRNA from 1 species